GAUGAACGCUGGCGGCGUGCUUAACACAUGCAAGUCGAACGGAAAGGCUCCUGCUUGCAAGGGUACUCGAGUGGCGAACGGGUGAGUAACACGUGGGUGAUCUGCCCUGCACUUCGGGAUAAGCCUGGGAAACUGGGUCUAAUACCGGAUAGGACGAUGGUUUGGAUGCCAUUGUGGAAAGUUUUUCGGUGUGGGAUGAGCUCGCGGCCUAUCAGCUUGUUGGUGGGGUAAUGGCCUACCAAGGCGUCGACGGGUAGCCGGCCUGAGAGGGUGUACGGCCACAUUGGGACUGAGAUACGGCCCAGACUCCUACGGGAGGCAGCAGUGGGGAAUAUUGCACAAUGGGCGCAAGCCUGAUGCAGCGACGCCGCGUGGGGGAUGACGGCCUUCGGGUUGUAAACUCCUUUCGCUAGGGACGAAGCGCAAGUGACGGUACCUGGAGAAGAAGCACCGGCUAACUACGUG
rnacentral:rRNA from 1 species